rnacentral:rRNA from 1 species
AGUGAACGCUGGCGGUAGGCCUAACACAUGCAAGUCGAACGGCAGCACAGUAAGAGCUUGCUCUUACGGGUGGCGAGUGGCGGACGGGUGAGGAAUACAUCGGAAUCUACUUUUUCGUGGGGGAUAACGUAGGGAAACUUACGCUAAUACCGCAUACGACCUACGGGUGAAAGCAGGGGAUCUUCGGACCUUGCGCGAUUGAAUGAGCCGAUGGCGGAUUAGCUAGUUGGCGGGGUAAAGGCCCACCAAGGCGACGAUCCGUAGCUGGUCUGAGAGGAUGAGCAGCCACACGAGAACUGAGACACGGUCCAGACUCCGACGGGAGGCAGCAGUGGAGAAUAUUGGACAAGGGGCGCAAGCCUGAGCCAGCCAUACCGCGUGGGUGAAGAAGGCCUUCGGGUUGUAAAGCCCUUUUGUUGGGAAAGAAAAGCAGCAGGUUAAUACCCCGCUGUUCUGACGGUACCCAAAGAAUAAGCACCGACUAACUUCG